GACGAACGCUGGCGGCGUGCUUAACACAUGCAAGUCGAACGGAAAGGCCCUGCUUUUGUGGGGUGCUCGAGUGGCGAACGGGUGAGUAACACGUGAGUAACCUGCCCUUGACUUUGGGAUAACUUCAGGAAACUGGGGCUAAUACCGGAUAGGAGCUCCUGCUGCAUGGUGGGGGUUGGAAAGUUUCGGCGGUUGGGGAUGGACUCGCGGCUUAUCAGCUUGUUGGUGGGGUAGGGGCUUACCAAGGCUUUGACGGGUAGCCGGCCUGAGAGGGUGACCGGCCACAUUGGGACUGAGAUACGGCCCAGACUCCUACGGGAGGCAGCAGUGGGGAAUAUUGCACAAUGGGCGGAAGCCUGAUGCAGCAACGCCGAGUGCGGGAUGACGGCCUUCGGGUUGUAAACCGCUUUCGCCUGUGACGAAGCGUGAGUGACGGUAAUGGGUAAAGAAGCACCGGCUAACUACGUG
rnacentral:rRNA from 1 species